GAGUUUGAUCCUGGCUCAGGAUGAACGCUAGCGGCAGGCUUAACACAUGCAAGUCGAGGGGUAUAGUUUUUCGGAACUAGAGACCGGCGCACGGGUGCGUAACGCGUAUGCAAUCUACCUUUCACAGAGGGAUAGCCCAGAGAAAUUUGGAUUAAUACCUCAUAGUAUAGUGAGUUGGCAUCAACACACUAUUAAAGUCACAACGGUGAAAGAUGAGCAUGCGUCCCAUUAGCUAGAUGGUAAGGUAACGGCUUACCAUGGCUACGAUGGGUAGGGGUCCUGAGAGGGAGAUCCCCCACACUGGUACUGAGACACGGACCAGACUCCUACGGGAGGCAGCAGUGAGGAAUAUUGGUCAAUGGGCGCAAGCCUGAACCAGCCAUGCCGCGUGCAGGAUGACGGUCCUAUGGAUUGUAAACUGCUUUUGUACGAGAAGAAACAACAUUACGUGUAAUGUCUUGACGGUAUCGUAAGAAUAAGGAUCGGCUAACUCCGUGCCAGCAGCCGCGGUAAUACGGAGGAUCCAAGCGUUAUCCGGAAUCAUUGGGUUUAAAGGGUCCGUAGGCGGUUUAGUAAGUCAGUGGUGAAAGCCCAUCGCUCAACGGUGGAACGGCCAUUGAUACUGCUAGACUUGAAUUACUAGGAAGUAACUAGAAUAUGUAGUGUAGCGGUGAAAUGCUUAGAGAUUACAUGGAAUACCAAUUGCGAAGGCAGGUUACUACUAGUGGAUUGACGCUGAUGGACGAAAGCGUGGGGAGCGAACAGGAUUAGAUACCCUGGUAGUCCACGCCGUAAACGAU
rnacentral:rRNA from 1 species